GGUGAACCUGCGGAGGGAUCAUUACAGAGUUGCAAAACUCCCUAAACCAUUGUGAACGUUACCUAAACCGUUGCUUCGGCGGGCGGCCCGGGUCCUUCCCGGCGCCCCUCGGCCCUCGCGGGCGCCCGCCGGAGGUAAACCAAACUAUUGCAUUGUAUGGCCUCUCUGAGUCUUCUGUACUGAAUAAGUCAAAACUUUCAACAACGGAUCUCUUGGUUCUGGCAUCGAUGAAGAACGCAGCGAAAUGCGAUAAGUAAUGUGAAUUGCAGAAUUCAGUGAAUCAUCGAAUCUUUGAACGCACAUUGCGCCCGCCAGUAUUCUGGCGGGCAUGCCUGUUCGAGCGUCAUUUCAACCAUCAAGCCCCGGGCUUGUGUUGGGGACCUGCGGCUGCCGCAGGCCCUGAAAUGCAGUGGCGGGCUCGCUGUCACUCCGAGCGUAGUAGUUACAUCUCGCUCUGGGCGUGCUGCGGGUUCCGGCCGUUAAAAGCCUUAUUUACCCAAGGUUGACCUCGGAUCAGGUAGGAAGACCCGCUGAACUUAAGCAUAUCAAUAAGCGGA
rnacentral:rRNA from 1 species